rnacentral:rRNA from 1 species
AUUGAACGCUGGCGGCGUGCUUAACACAUGCAAGUCGAUCGGUAACGGGGGCUUCGGUCCGCCGGCGAGUGGCGAACGGGUGAGUAAUGUAUCGGAACGUACCAUUCAGUGGGGGAUAACUAUCCGAAAGGAUAGCUAAUACCGCAUAUUCUGUGAGCAGGAAAGCAGGGGAUCGCAAGACCUUGCGCUGAUUGAGCGGCCGAUAUCAGAUUAGCUAGUUGGUGAGGUAACGGCUCACCAAGGCUACGAUCUGUAGCGGGUCUGAGAGGAUGAUCCGCCACACUGGGACUGAGACACGGCCCAGACUCCUACGGGAGGCAGCAGUGGGGAAUUUUGGACAAUGGGCGCAAGCCUGAUCCAGCCAUGCCGCGUGAGUGAAGAAGGCCUUCGGGUUGUAAAGCUCUUUCGGCCGGGAAGAAAUCGCAUCAGCUAAUACCUGGUGUGGAUGACGGUACCGGAAUAAGAAGCACCGGCUAACUACGUGCCAGCAGCCGCAGUAACAC